AGGUUCCCAGGCUAGGGGUCGAAUUGGAGAUCCUACCAUCAGCUGGCAGAGGAAGAGAAGACUUAGGCCUGGUUUGUGGAUAGUUCUGCAGAUGUGCAGGCACCUCCGGAAGUGGACAGCUGCAGAGCUGCAGGCCCCCUUUGGAGCAUCCCUGAAGGAGUGGUGAAAGGAAGUUUUCCCAGUGGGCAGAACUUUUAGCAGUGCAUCUGGUCAUUCAUUUUGCUCGGAAGGAAAAAUGGCCAGACAUGCAAUCAUGUACUGAUUCAUGAGCUGUGGCGAAUGGGUUGGUUACACGGGCAGGAACUUGGAAGGAACAUCAUUGGAACCUUGGUGACAAGGAAAUGUGGUGAUCUGGCAAAGAGGUAUGUGGACAGAUCUCUCUAAAUAGGUAAAAAAUGUAAAGAUAUUUUUAUCCCAGGUGAUGACUUCAGAGAAGACUUUAGUAAUCAAGGGGAUAGGAUGACCAGUUGUGUGGAUACCAGUCAGCUACUGUGGAGACCCCCUAUCACCAAUGCGCUCGUGAACCAAGUAGCCAUGGUGGCAGGGAUGGAGUUAUGCGUGGGCUCAACAACAAGGGCAUCCAUUCACCAUGCCAAACUAGCUACUGCCACCACUGACUGCCCAAUGUGCCAGCAGCAGAGACCAACACUCAGUACUUGCGAUGGCCCUGUUCCCCAGGGUGACACCAGCUACUCGAUGGCACGUUGAUUACACUUAACUGCUUCCAAUACACAAGGGGUGACGUCUUGUUCUUACUGAAACAGACACUUGCUCUGAACAUGAAUUUUCAUUCCCUGCACACACUGCUUCAGCCUGAACUACCAUCUGCGGACCAAGAGAAGGCCUUACACAUCAUUCACACAGCAUCACUUCUGACCUAGGGACUCACUUCACAGCAAAAGUGGUGUGGCCAGGGGCCCGUGCUCUUGGACAUCACUGGUCUCACUGUGUUGCCCACCAUCCUGAAGCAGCUGGUUUGGCAGACGAGUGGAAUGGCCUUUUGAAGACUUAAUUCUGGCACUAGCUGGGCAGCAAUAUCUUGCCGUGUUAGAGCAAGGUUUCUCAAGAAGGGUGUAACCUCCCAAAUAUGGGGCUGCCUUCCCCAGAGCCAGGAUUCACAGGUCCAGGAAUCAAGGGGAGGAAAGGGGAGUGGCACCACUUACUGUUGUUACCCCUGGUGACCCACUAGCAAAAUGUUUGUUUCCUGCUUCUGCAAGAGUAUGCUCUGUUGGCCUAGAGGGCUCAGUUCCAUGGGAAGAAUGUUUCUACCCAGAGACACAACAAUGAUUCCAUUGAGCGGGGAGCUAAGACAGCCACCUGGUCAUUGUGGACUCCUCAUGCCUCUGAAUCAGUAGGCAAAGAAAGGAGUUACUGUACUUGCGCUAACUGGGGUGAUGGAUCCUGACUACCAAGGGGAAAUUGGAUGGCUGCUCUGCAGGAGAUCCCUUAAGGCUUCUCUUAGCAUGACCAUGCCCUGUGAUUAAGGACAAUGGAAAACUACAACCCCCCGAGCCCAGGGAGGAUGCUAAUGGCCCAGACCCUUCAGGAAUAAAGACCUGGGUCACCCCACCAGCUACAGAAUCAUGACCAGCUGAGGUGCUCGCUGAAGGCAAAAGAAAUACAAAAAAGGCAGGAGAAGAAGGUAGUCCUAACAUGGGCUACAACCACAUGGCCAGUACAGAAAUAAGGACUGCAACUAUCGUAAGAAUUUCUUCCUUACUGUGUUAUGAAUAUGUUUGUCCGUGUGUAUAGAGGAUGUCUUUGUUUUCUUCCCUCUCUUAUUCUCUUAUUGUGUAACACAAGAUGUAUGGACUUUAUAUCAUAGUAUGUAAGUACUGCUAAUUUUCAACCACAUUUUUAAGUUAAAGGAGAUCAAAGAGACAUGUAAACAUCACUCGAGGACUUUACCACCUCUUCUGGGAAAGGAGUUAUAGUGUGUUUUCAGUUGUAUGCAGAAUUGUUGUAUCAUAUUCAGUAGAAUUAUAACCUUGUGAUUGUCUUUAUUUGGAGAUUAAGGAUCGGUCUAAGAGAUGCUUGUGGGUGCCACAUUGACAAGGGGGGUAUUUGUAAUUGCUCAUUUUAUAUGUACGGAGCAGGGGGGAAAAUAGAAAAUACAGAAAAUAACGUAAAAGACAUGUUAAAAAUGUUUAACAUCAUAUAAUUAGGGUCUCAGAACAAAAGGAAAGAGAGAAUGAACCCCAAAUUAGACAUAUACCAAGAAAGCCACAGCCAGGCACAGCAUAGUGAAACUGUUAAAAAUUUAAAACAAAGAGGAAUCUUAAAAGUAUCUAGAGAAAAAAAGAAAGACUCAUUCUUUCCAAAAGCACCAAGGAAUCAACAGCUGAAUUUUUGCGAGAAAGGAUAGAAAGAAGAAGAAAAAAGAAUAAGAUCGUUAAUGAGCCGAAAGACAAUAACUGCCAACCCGGAAUUCCACAUCCAGUGAAAAUAUGCUUCAGAAAUGAAGGUGAACUGAAGAAGUGCCCAAACAAUAAGAAAUGUUUAGGCAAAUAAAUGUUUAGAGAGAAUUAGUUACUUGUGCACGCACUCUAGAAGAAAUGCUAAAAGGAGUUCUUCCAACAUAAGAAAAAUAAUUCCAGGAGCUCUCUUGUGGCGCAGUGGGUUAAGGACAGUGCGUUGUUGCUGCAGCAGCUUGGGUCGCUGCUGUGGCAUGGGUUCAGUCUUUGGCUGGGGAACUUCCACAUGCCACAGGCACGGCCAAAAAACAAACAAACAAACAAACAAUUUCAGAGUUAAGGGUGAUAAUUCAGGAAGGAUUAAAGAGUGUCAGAAAGAGAAAAUGGGUGUGUCCGUCUAAGUGACUACUGGAGGCAUAAAACAAAAAUAAUCAUGAUUUACGAGGUGUAUCCACAUAGAGUAAAAAAGACAUGACAACAAUAUCACAAAGAGUGGAAGGAGAGUUUACCAGAGCAAAUCCUGAAACAAAGGUCUGAGUUUAAAUAAUUUAUUUGGGGAGUUAACCCAGAUAACUUCAGUACAGGGCUGGGAAGUGAGUUAGGGAAGGGAGGGAACCGAUGAAGUGGGCAGAAUCUAGUGGAUUGUCACUCUGGGAACUGGAGCGUAAUCCUGCUUGGAAACUCUGGGACCAAAGCUCAGGCACCUCAGGGUUAAUCCCGCUUGAGGGCAAAGACGCUGGGAUAUUCAUUCACCAUCUCUGGUCAAUCACGGGUUGAAGACCACUUCAGGGAGUUUUAAAUUUCUAGGCCCUUCUAGCCUGCUGGGCACUCAGCAGUCAAAGAAGCCCUCAGGUCCAAGUUGAGCCACAGAGGCUGGGAGUUGUAAACUGGGCCAAUGGAAAUGGUGCCAAGAAGGUUUAGGUGGGGCACCGAGAGCAUCUACUAUUGGAAAAAAAGGAGUUAAAAAAAUUACACAUUGGGAGUUCCCAUCAUGGCUCAGCAGUAACAAACCUGACUAGUAUCCAUGAGGAUGUGGGCUGGAUCCCCAGCCUCGCUCAGUGGGUCGGGGAUCUGGCCUUGCCGUGAGCUGUGAUGCAGCUUCCAGAUGUGGCUCAGAUCCUGCGUUGCUGUGGCUCUGGCAUAGGCCAGAAGCUGCAACUCUGAUUUGACCCCUAGCCUGGGAACCUCCAUAUGCUGCAGGUACGGCCCUAAAAUCAAAAAAAGGAAAGAAAUUGGAGUUCCCUGGUGGCCUAGCAGUUAAAGGAUUUGGCAUUGGCAUUGCUGUGGCUCAGGUUUGAUCCCUGGUCUGGAAACUUCUGCAUCCACAGGUGCAGCCAAAAAAAUUAAAAAUUUAUUUUUAGUAAUCCAGGAGAAAUAAAUGUACUACUUUAUAUCAGCACUCAGCAUUCAAAGAAACCCUCAGGCCAAGUUGAGUCACAGAGGCUUUAAUAAAUAGAAGAUGCAUAUUGUAAUCUCCAGAUUUUAAAGAGUAAAAUAAUGUGUAUUUGACAAGUUAGUAGAGGGAGAAACAGAACUGCUGAAAAUGACUUGUUAUUCUGAAAGGUUAAAAAGUUGAAAAAAUGAACACAGGAAAAUGGAAUGAACAGAAAACAAAUACUAAGGUGGUAGAUUUUAAUCUUGAUGUAGCAUUAAUUGUGUAACUGGAAGAGGAUUAAAUAUUCCAACGAAAAGGCAAAGAUUAUCAGAUAAACUAAUAGAGCACAACACGACUAAAUGUUGCUGACAUGACACUUUCAAAAUAAACAAUAUAGACAAGGGAACAUCCCUCAAAGUGGGUGCAGUUAUAUAAAUAUCAGACAAAAUAUAGGUUAAGGCAGAAAGCAUUACUAGGGCUAAAGAAGGAUUAAUGAGAAAGGAAUCAAUCGCCAAGAAGAUAUGAUAAUAUAAAUUUAUAUGCAUCUAAUAACACAGCCUCACUCUGUAUAAAGCAAAUGAGCAGAAAUAAAAAGUGAAACACAUUCACAUUCAUGGUAAGAAAUGUUUAUUAGCACAUCUCUCCCAGUAACUGAUAGAACACACAGAACAAAGAAGGGUAUAUAAGAUGUAAACAACAAGAUCAACAAACGAAAUCUAAUUAACACGCAUAAAGUACUGCUCCCAACAUCUGCAGAAUACACAUCCUUUUCAAGAAUACUGUAACAUUCACCAAAAACUGCCCAUAUCUUGGGCCAUAAAGCUAGUUGGGACAAAUUCUAAAGGGCUGAAACCAUACAGGAUGUGUUUUCUAACUAGAAUGGGGUUAAGCUAAAAUCAAUAAUUUAAAAAAAUCCCAAAUACUGGAAAUUAAGAAGAAACACUUUUUAAAAUCUAAGGAGUGAAAGAAGAGAUUACAAUAAAAAUUAGAAAAUCUUUUGAACUUAAAAUAAUAGAAAUAUGACAGUGAAAGUAUUCAACACAGAUAAAACUAUGCUUUUUAUAUUUACACUUUAUGUGUUUAUGUUAGAAAAGAAGGCUGAGAAUCGAUGAUGUAAGUAUGCUUUUUAAAUGCCAGAAAAAGAAUGGCAAGCAUAUAAACCCAAAGAAAGUGGAAGGAAGGGAAAAAUAAAGAUUAGACUAGAAACCGGUAAAAUUAAAACCAAAUGUAUAUUGAAGAAACAAGACAAAAAUUAGUUCUUUGAAUAGAAUAUUGAACUUUAUAAAUUCCUAGUAAGUCUGAUCAAUAAAGGAGUGGAAAAAAAUCACAAAUUACCAGUAAGAGAAUGAAUUUGGAAAUUUAGAAAACAAAACAAAACCCUACAACCUACCAAAAAUGAUGAAAAUCUGAAUAAGUCUUACAUCUAUUUAAUAAAUUGAGUCCAUGAUUAAAAACUACGCCACAAAGAAAACUCCAAAUCCAGAUGGCUUUGCUAGUGAAUUUUCCUAAACAGUCAAGGAAAAUAAAUAUUUAUCUUUCUGGUACUACUUAAAGAGAAAGCACUUCCCAACUUGUUUUAUGAGGAAAGAAUAAUCUUGAUCCUAAAACUGACAAUGACAUUAUAAGAAAAGUAUAAGCUGAUCUCCCCCAUGAAUUUUGAUGUAAAAAUCCUAAACAAAACAUUAAACGAACCCUGCUUUACAGAAAAGGACAGAAUAUAAAUAUCAAGAAAUAAAACAUUGGUUGAUUUUAUUAUUGUUUUCUUUUUAGGGCCUCACCUGUGGCAUAUGGAAGUUCCCAGGCUAGGGGUCAAAU
rnacentral:lncRNA from 1 species